GACGAACGCUGGCGGCGUGCUUAACACAUGCAAGUCGAGCGGAAAGGCCCUUUCGGGGGUACUCGAGCGGCGAACGGGUGAGUAACACGUGAGUAAUCUGCCCUGGACUUCGGGAUAGCCCACCGAAAGGUGGAUUAAUACCGGAUAUGACGCGCUCUCGCAUGGGGGUGUGUGGAAAGUUUUUUCGGUUCAGGAUGUGCUCGCGGCCUAUCAGCUUGAUGGUGAGGUAAUGGCUCACCAUGGCUUCGACGGGUAGCCGGCCUGAGAGGGUGACCGGCCACACUGGGACUGAGACACGGCCCAGACUCCUACGGGAGGCAGCAGUGGGGAAUAUUGGACAAUGGGCGGAAGCCUGAUCCAGCAACGCCGCGUGAGGGAUGACGGCCUUCGGGUUGUAAACCUCUUUCAGUACCGACGAAGCGCAAGUGACGGUAGGUACAGAAGAAGCACCGGCCAACUACGUGCCAGCAGCCGCCGUAAC
rnacentral:rRNA from 1 species